GAAGGUUCCUCAGCUGGCCUGGAACUCUAAGGAUGCGGGUUUCAUGAGUUGUCAUCCAUGCCGGGUGGGCUUUUGUUCAAGCAGCUACUAUGGAGUCAUCCAUGGUCCUAUAGGGAACUCCCCAGCCACACCACUUCCAUCUCCUGAAACCACGGUACUGCUGCUGUCAGACUGGGUCCUCUCACAACAGUUAAGACAACCACCCACAGACAUGCACAGGCCAAUCUCGUCUGGACAAUCUCUAAUUGAGACUCUCCUCCCAGAAUACUGCCUUGCCAUCUGAGGGGAAACAAACAAAGUCAACAAGCAAGUGUCUCUUGAGACUCAUCAGAGAAAACGCAUUGGCAUGGAUGUUAAAAAAAGGAAAGCAUUUCUUACACAAUAAAAGCCAGGUGAGACAUGCAAAAUACGCUUGGCACCACCAAGGUGCACAAAGUGCCU